UACGGAGGGCGCUAGCGUUAUUCGGAAUUACUGGGCGUAAAGCGCACGUAGGCGGCUUUGUAAGUUAGAGGUGAAAGCCUGGAGCUCAACUCCAGAACUGCCUUUAAGACUGCAUCGCUUGAAUCCAGGAGAGGUGAGUGGAAUUCCGAGUGUAGAGGUGAAAUUCGUAGAUAUUCGGAAGAACACCAGUGGCGAAGGCGGCUCACUGGACUGGUAUUGACGCUGAGGUGCGAAAGCGUGGGGAGCAAACAGG
rnacentral:rRNA from 1 species